rnacentral:lncRNA from 1 species
CAAAGGAUUGUAGAUUCGGGCUUCUGCGUUAGAAUAGAGCCUAUAAAAUGUCGCUUCGAAGUAAACAACGUGUAGAACAAUACUCACUAACUUUGUUUAUAGGCAAUUUUGACUAAAUUCCCGCGUUUAAAUCCCAAUAUGUAGCAUCUUAAGUUUUGACGGAAAAAAUGAUGGCGUUAAUGAAAAAGACCAAUGGUACAACACGUUUUUAAGUUCGAGAUUAAAGAAACUAAUAUAAGAGUUCAUAAACUCAAAUUAAAAUAGGGGUAAAGCUCUGAGACCAUUGCUACAAUUAAGCCUUGUUUAUUUUGUUUCCUAGUGCAACUUUAAGUCCUUAUAGGGUUUGGUUUUAUGUCUUGGACGUAUAAAUAUACCUCUUGGGUGUUAUGAUUGUUAUCUUUCGACUAUUGUUCAAUAAACUUGAGAUUACUCAAUUUUCAUGGUAAAUUCUAGGGUAUUGCUGGUGGAUUCUAGAGUUGAGUUGUCGUUCGAUUUUCCUUGUUAUAUAUAUCUUGAUACGUCAUUUUAACGUAUUCAUUUUUUUUUAAUAUGUUUUAUUCAGAGUUUCUUAUAUUCAUUUAUCCACUUAUAUAUUAAAAAUGACUCUGCAUUUUAUUAUACGUGUUUAGUAUGAACAUACAAUACUAUUGUAUUCUGUAUAUGCUACAAUUCUAAAAUACUAAUAUGCUACAAAAUUAACUAAUUUGUACACAAGAAGAUAAUAAAUAAUAAAAAAUUAACAUUAAAAUGCGUAUAACAUAACGUUUUCGAAUGUCCAAAAACUGUUGAAAUGUUAGAAUUCCAAAUCAUGUUUUGAAACUUUCGAGAUAAUUUCGAUUUUGAAAAUUUUGAAUAAUCCGAAAACUCCAAAUUUGGCAAGGAAGUCAAUCUGUUUGAAAAUGACCCAUGCCUAAGUUAUACAAAGAUGGGUUUAAUUAUUAACUGCUAAAGCCUAUGUUACCUAAUUACUUCACUGCGGAUGAAAAUAACAAUCAAAACUUGCGAUUCAAUUAGGGAAUUGUUAUUGGCACUCCAAAAAUCUCAUUCUACAUUCCAAACUUUCUAUAUUUAGAAAGAAAAAUACAUUGUGAGGAGUGUACCAUGAGAUUUUUGUAGUGCUAAUAAUACUUCCCUUCAAUUAAGUUCCACAUGUUAUAACAAUUAACUAGCAUUAAAAUCACCCACAAGAUUUUAUAAGGAAAUUUGGAAAAAUAUCUAAAAUUAGACGAGUUUUUAUCAAAUAUAGCCAAAAAUUAACUCUUAAUUUCAAAAAUGUCACUUUUUAUAAAAACUUUCAAAUAUAUCCAAAAUUUCACUUAAAUAAACACAAAUACCCUGAAAUUUAACAAUUAAAUAAAUUAAAGACCUUUUAGCUACUGUCGCCUCAAGUUUCGGUCCAACUUCACCUUCACUUCUACACUCCACCACCACAACCCUAUCCCCUUCGACCCCCUCAUCACCGACAUUGAGCGCUGUCACGAUUAUUUCGCAAGUGGGAGCAGCAGAGUUUCAUCAUGCCUUCAAUGCCAUUUUUUCUUACUAAUAUCAUUUUUAGUUUUAAAUAUAAAAUUAGUUUUUAAAGUUAAUCCACAUAUUGUUAUAUGAUUGUAUUUGUGAGACCCACGUAGCGCCACAUCAUCACACUAACAAAGCAAUUGACAGAUUUUUCACGAAAAAACUAAAAUGAUCAUGAUGGACAAAUUCAAAGAAAGACUAAAAUGAUUCAAGAUAGACAAAUUCAAGAACACUACUAUUGUUUAUCAUUAAUUGUUAAGAACCGGAUUAAUGAGUUAUGUCAAUGUCACGAAUCAUUUUGGCUAAAAAGCCUUUAAUUUAUUUGAUUGUUAAAUUUGAGGGUGUUUGUGUCUAUUUAGGUGGAAUUUUGGAUAUAUUUAAAAGAUUUUAUAAAAAGUGACAUUCUUUGAAAUUAAGGGCUAAUUUUUGGCUAUAUUUGAUAAAUACUCAAUUGAAUAGUUACGUGGAAAAUAACAAUCAAAGCUUACGAUACUUAGUGAGCAUGGGAAAAGGACGAACUUGCUUGUAGCUAACAAAAUUGGAUCUUUAUGUCGUGGCAUAGGAUUUAAGGGUACAUUAGUAUUUUAAUAUCAACUUUUGGUUAUAAUUAUCAUACAUUCAAAAGUGUGGUUAUAAUUAUAUAUGGAGUCCAAAUUUUAGUUACUUUUCCAAAUUUUCUGAUUUUAUCGAGGCCCAUAUUUAUGCAAUCUAUUCUCUAAUUGGAUAAUACUUAGGUGCUUAUUAGCAAGGAAGAAAAUAUCGGUAAUAUCGGAAAUAUCGGUAGUCCGAAAACACGGAAAUAUCGAUGGAAAUAUCGG